CGACUACAUGAAGCUGGAAUCGCUAGUAAUCGCAGAUCAGAAUGCUGCGGUGAAUACGUUCCCGGGUCCUUGUACACACCGCCCGUCACACCAUGGGAGUCGGGAAUGCCCGAAGUCAGUGACCCAACCGCAAGGAGGGAGCUGCCGAAGGCAGGCUCGAUAACUGGGGUGAAGUCGUAACAAGGUAAC
rnacentral:rRNA from 1 species